rnacentral:rRNA from 1 species
AGAGUGAACGCUGGCGGUAGGCCUAACACAUGCAAGUCGAACGGCAGCACAGUGGUAGCAAUACCAUGGGUGGCGAGUGGCGGACGGGUGAGGAAUACAUCGGAAUCUACCUUUUCGUGGGGGAUAACGUAGGGAAACUUACGCUAAUACCGCAUACGCCCUUCGGGGGAAAGCCGGGGAUCGCAAGACCUGGCGCGGAUAGAUGAGCCGAUGUCGGAUUAGCUAGUUGGUGAGGUAAUGGCUCACCAAGGCGACGAUCCGUAGCUGGUCUGAGAGGAUGAUCAGCCACACUGGAACUGAAGACACGGUCCAGACUCCUACGGGGAGCAGCAGGUGGGGAAUAGUUGGAACAAGU